rnacentral:rRNA from 1 species
GAUGAACGCUGGCGGCGUGCCUAAUACAUGCAGGUCGAGCGAACAGAUGAGGAGCUUGCUCCUCUGACGUUAGCGGCGGACGGGUGAGUAACACGUGGAUAACCUACCUAUAAGACUGGGAUAACUUCGGGAAACCGGAGCUAAUACCGGAUAAUAUAUUGAACCGCAUGGUUCAAUAGUGAAAGACGGUUUUGCUGUCACUUAUAGAUGGAUCCGCGCCGCAUUAGCUAGUUGGUAAGGUAACGGCUUACCAAGGCAACGAUGCGUAGCCGACCUGAGAGGGUGAUCGGCCACACUGGAACUGAGACACGGUCCAGACUCCUACGGGAGGCAGCAGUAGGGAAUCUUCCGCAAUGGGCGAAAGCCUGACGGAGCAACGCCGCGUGAGUGAUGAAGGUCUUCGGAUCGUAAAACUCUGUUACUAGGGAAGAACAAAUGUGUAAGUAACUAUGCACGUCUUGACGGUACCUAAUCAGAAAGCCACGGCUAACUACGUG